GGAACAGGUGGUUGUGAUCACACAGCAUAUGCGGGACAGCUGGGGGGGGUCUCACCCGGUCAGCAUGGAUUCAUAAAAGGCUGCCUGACCAACAUCAUCUCCUUCUACGACUGUGUGGCCCACCUGGGGGAUGAGGGAAGGCCUGUUGAUGGUGUCUACCUGGAUUUCAGCAAGGUCUCUGACACAGGCAUGGAGAGUGGUGGUGAACGGAGUGAAAUCCAGCUGGCUGCCAGCCCCCAGGGGUCACCCUCUUUAAUAUCCUUAUUGAUGACUUGGAUGAAGGAAUUGCGUGCACCCUCAGCAAGUUUGGAAGGGCUUCUGUUUCUGUUUUGGGGACACUUGAAAGAGAGCGUCUCCCAAUGGCAAAGAUAAGAGCCCACGUCCUGCAUCCUGUGGCUGCACAUUCUCAGCCACAAGAGUCACCGAGUCCCUUUCCAGCGGGAUGCGAUUUGGACAAUGACAUCUCAGACUGAUGCAGCUAAUCCAGCUGUACCCAAGGUAAUUAUGUGAAGUGACAUUCAAACCAGAGUGGUUUUUCUAGACACUGAGAUUAUUAAAUUAUGAAGAAAGUACACCAGCUACUUUCCUCCCCACAUGUCUCUAGUGCAGUCUAAAAAUAGCCCCAAGCAUUUGAAAGUGUGCCUUAAUCUUUUGACGGGGAAGUGGAUGAGGUCAGAAAACUGGGAAAGGACUUGUUUGCUGUCGGGAGGAUGGUGAAGUUGACACAUCAAAUAGAGCUGACUGCUGCUGUUGGUGAAGAAAAGGUAGGGAAAUGGAGCCCAGUGUACUGGUUUUAAGUGUUUAUUAUAUACAUUGCAGGUGCUUGUGAAAUGCUGUGGGUUAAAAACCCUUUUGAUAUAUAGAGGGCAGGAGGUGACAGGAUCAUCUGGUCUAUUUUCAGUAUAGUAAGCUGCAGAGAGCCUAUAGUGUAAAGACAAAACAGUGUAUUCAAGAUUAACAAGAGCCAGUGUAAACUUGUCCAGGGUACAGCUCUGCUUUGAAUCUUCCAAUCCCCUGUGACAGCUCAGUGUCUACAUUAAGAAAUUUGGGAUUUCAUCUUCCAUGUGUUCAACACGCUCCAAAUCAAGUUAAUUCUCUUUGGUUUUAGAAAAUGUUUUAUUUGUUGUCAUUUGAUUGUAUCUCAGAUCUUGGCACUCCAAUUUUACUGGAGAAAUGUUAAGGGUGUAUAGCUGAGGUAGUAAGCAUGUGAGUAUGGAAAAGCUAAAUAUUAAGAAGUCCUUGCUCAUAAAAUGAGGCUUCAUCUAAACUGUAGGUUCUCACAAGUGUUAAUGAAAAAGCAUGAAGUCUCUACCACCCCAAAAAAGAAUCCAUGGGAUAAAUUUUCUCUGAUUUCUCAUUUUUCUGCUCCAACAAAGUAGAGCCAGGAUACCACAGUCAUUCAUGCAUGAAACACUUCUCCACAGAUUUGCAGCCCAAUAGGAGCAGUUCUAUUAUAGGUCUAUUAUUUGCAUAAUUGGGUGCUAACAAAAAUAAAGCUAACAAAUUGCUGAUAAUUGCAAAAUGUCAACUAUAUUGGGCUAGGUCAGAGGUGAAAUGUAAGGGUGAAGUCUCCAGGUGUGUUGAGGUCAAAAGCAACUUGUUAUUGAAGGGAAACUUGUUAGGGAUAAUAGCUAUCAGAAGAAACUUAACUGAAUAAUGUCAGAGCCAACCAAAUCUUAAGUAACGUGUUGCUGCAUUACUCCAGGAAAAGGUAACCACUGCCAAUGUGACUAAUUGGCUGGUUCUUCACAUCUUACUUCUGAAAAAGAGCACUAAAGAGGUAUGUAAACUCUUGUUGUAUAGUAAGUGGUACAGGACAACUGCACAGAAGGACUUUAUUCUAUUUGAUAACAUAUUUUUAAUAAAUGCUAUAACAUAGAGGUCCCAAAAUCAUCUUAGUACCUGAGAAAAUUGAGAGUUUUUUCCCAGAAAAAUCCACAUGGCCCUUCAAAUGGCUGGGAAGAGAAAUCUCAGUUGUCCGUGGUAAGUCUUGAGAACCUGGGAGUCAAAAGGGAAUGAACUCACACCAAUGCUUUGAAGUGACUCAAAGCCCACAGAAUUUAGCUGGCUUCUCCCUACCAGAUCUGCAGAGUUUCCUGGUAUUUUUAGGAAUGAAAAAUUAUGGAUGGCCUGAGGAAAUGCAAUUAUUUUUAGAAUGGCCUUGGUUCUAACUACCAGACUGUAUUGCUUCAAAAUCCUCUCAAGAACUUCCGUAUCUAAGUGAAAAACAGCCUCACAAAUUGUGAGGGUGGUUUAAAUCAACUUCAAUGCGAUAGAAGGUAUAUGUGCUCCCUUAGUCAGGGGAGUUGGAAAAAGAGCUAUCAAUAACAGUAUGUCAGGUAAACACCGAGGGCAAAGAGAGUACUUCGCUGGGACAUGACUUUUUUCCUUCUCUCAGGGAUUCUCUUUCUCUUCUGUCUUCAGUUGCUUUUAUAUCUUUAACCAUACAGCGGCCAAGACAGGAGAGGAACUGUCUGACAAAGGUUUCAUUGACAAAAGUGUAUGAUUUUUGCUAGAAGGCACUUCCUUCUCCGCUGAAAGCUUUGAAGUGUCGUCUUUGUUCUUUCAGGCUUGUUUUUUUUUUUCUCUUUUAAAAAUGAUAGACAAAAUACUUGAAAGUCCUACUUUAGCAGCAACAGAAACCCUUCAUUUCAAAAGGUAUCAUCAUGUGAAAGUCAUGUAUUUGGAAUAUCAUUUCUAAUCCUCGUUAAGAAAACAGUGCCUUAAAUAAUUAAGAAGUGUUUGUUGAAUUUUAAGAAUAUGUGUAAUUUUCUCUUCAAGUUGUCUUCUUCCUUCAUUGACUAGCUCAGUGUGCCCUGUUUCUGCUGACUGUGAUCUUUGUACCUCUUUCAUGUGGCUUGGUUUCACUAUCUGCAAAAUGGAUUAAUGGGAAUGAACUCCUUUGUAAAGAAUCAGCAUUGAAAAGUGCUGUGGUAAAGCUAGGGAUUAUUAAAGAAGUCUGCUAUUUAGUAUUUGAACAAUGUAGUAGAUUUUGGUUUUCCACAACCUGAAA